CAUCAAUGCCUCUGACAGGAGGAGGGCUGCACCCGCCCUGCUUUUUCUAGAAGCAUGACCGCAUCCCCGCUGUCGGGGAGGCGAGGGCAGGAGGGGUGGCAGCGGGAGCGGAACAGGAGGCCCGGGGGACACGGGUUUGGGACAGCAGGUAGCGGAGCGGCGGGCAGCUGUCGCUGCUGCUCAGACCGCCAGUGGCCGCGGCAGGUGCAGGGCUCUGAGUCUCUGCUCACAAAGGCGCCGGGCGGCCAGCAGCGCUGCCCUGGAUUACCCGAGGGCACACACCCCGCCGAGUGAGCUGGAAGACCCGGGGGACGGCCGCGGCUCCGGCGCCCACAUGCUCAGCACCGCCAGGGUUCCUGCGGACCGGCCCGUGCGCAUCGCCUUCAGCCUCGGCCAGGCCUCAGAUGGUGCCCCCACGGAGGACCCCGCGCUGCUCUUCCCGGAACUAGACCAGCAGCUGCAGAAAUGCAAAAAGAAACAGGAGUGAUGCCAGCCCUGCCGCCCGAAUGCCCUCAGCUGUGGUGCCACCUGCACAGGAGCUGCCGGGCAAGGGUGUUCCCCACCCACGCUCCCGUGUGAGCCUUGCCACAACCGUGUAGCCGACUGAAACACAGGGGUCAUGAGGGUGUGCCUUGUAGGAGAAGUUUGAGACACCCUGGAGUUGCCACCCUUCGCACUGCUUAUGUCAACGGGAAUGACUUACAUACUCGUUCCAGUGUUAGAUAAGGCGUAAGAGACGCCGCACACACAUCUACUAGUGCCGACCAUCAUGCAGAGACUAUAAAAUGUCAGUUCUUAAAAUGUUUUAAAAAUAAUUAAAA